rnacentral:lncRNA from 1 species
GGAGGCAAACACCGAGCUCCCCCUGAGCCGCUCGGGAACAGGGAGGGUUCUGCUACCCUGAGGGGCCCUCCCCGCGGGGCAGAGGGGUUUCCUCAGCAGUGCCCCCGAGCAGGGACCGCGCCAGCCAGCAGAAACAGCUAGUUGUUGUCUACAGUGAAGAAUAAUUGGAAGCAUGGUGCCUGCUUCUUUUCCUGUGGGGGGAAGUCACGACAUGUACUUCUGACUCUAUGCUUGCCUUGAGGAACAAUGGCAUGACACAGGGAUGUGGACGUUUUUCAACCAGAUGCUUCGGUACAGCAGUGUCGGCACACAAGGAGUGUUCCACUGACUGACCUCUUUUUGUUUUCAAAUGAAGAGGAGCCAAGAAUAGGACGGCUUGGGAAGGUGAGCUGCGUAUAACUCGUCAGGCUGAGCCCAUCCUCGCCUAUGGCCAAGGGUUUCUCGUUUCUAGAAGAUGAAAGAUGUGAUGACUUAGGAAAAAUGUGCUGUUCGAGAUGUGAGUCUUCAGAUGUUCCCGCCGCCAUAUCUGACAGCUGCUGCCAAGAUUCCCUGGUGCGAUGGACUCUUAUACCUCUACAACCAGAAGCCCAAGUAAACUCUUCUAUAAGUUGAAUGAAUCAUGCUUUAAAAAAAAAAACCUACU